rnacentral:lncRNA from 1 species
CUGGGUUUUGCCAGCUUGGUGAUCUGGGGCCCCGGACCUGGGCAGCCUGGGUAGCUUUCUGACAGGCUUCCGGCCUUUCCUGCCUCUCUUGCCUGCCUGCAUCCCACAGUGGGGACUGAGGCCCUGAGGCCCCAAGGGGAAGUGGCGGGCGGAUGCUGGGGUUCAGACGAGGGAUGGCGGGGUGUAGGUGACAACUCCACCGGAACUUCUGCUAGGGCCUUUGCCCACAGGAUGUGACUUAGGGAGGGCUCAUGGGAAACGGCAGGCCCUGGCUUGAGAUGUAGUCGGAUAAUGGAGGCCACACAAGCCCACCGCAGAUCCCCGCCCACCGCACUACUGCUCAGACCCCAGCAAUGCCGUGGCUCCACCCCUAGGCCAGAUGGGCAGGGCCCCGAGAUGGGGAAGUGCUGGGGUUUGUGCCAGACUGACCUGGUUCAAAUACCAGUAUGGUCACUGACCAGCUGUUUGACCCAGGCCAAGUGAUGUCACCUCGGGAUCCUGAUGUGUACAAUGGAGGUGACAACAGUACCCAUGUGGUUGAGUGGCAACCGAGAUAAUUCCCAUAAAGUGCCAAGUGUAGGGCUUGGACCAUUUAUUUUCCGUCAAUAAGUUGUCAUUACUAAAAUUUUUAUGGUCUCACUCCUUAUCCUCCCCACCUCCAAUUUAGGGAACAGCCUCCUGCUUCUAAUAGUGUAAGCCAUGAAGCCGACCCUACGUCACUAACUGCCUAAACCCCUCUCUUGCUUCACGUUACUCUCAGGAGAGGGCUCCUUCCUCCUCAGCCUGACCUUCCAGCCCCUCCCUGGUAGUGCCCUUCCCCAGAACAAGACCUCUUGUGACAUCAAGGUCACCAAAGCCAUUCCUGCCUCCUCCUAGGAGGCUUUGAGGCUAAGCAGUGUGGGGUGAGAGCUGGGAGCCACCCCGAGGGCUUUUUUUUGAGACGGAAUCUCUCUCUGUCACCAGGCUGGAGUGCAGUGGCAAGACCUCGGCUCACUGCAACCUCCACCUCCUGGGUUCAAGCAAUUCUCCUGCCUCAGCCUCCCAAGUAGCUGGGACUACAGGCGCCCAAUACCACGCCUGGCUAAUUUUUGUCUUUUUAGUAGAGACGGGGUUUCAACAUAUUGGCCAGGCUGGCUCCAACUCCUGACCUUGUGAUCCGCCUGCCUUGGUCUCCCAAAGUGCUGGGAUUACAGGCGUGAGCCACCGCGCCCACUCCAAUGGCUUCUUGCAGGAAGAGAGGCGAAUAGCGUGAGUCAAGAGAAUCCCCUCACUCAGACACCCAGGUUCGGGUCCCAACUUUGUCGCCGUGUGACCUUGGGCAAAUGACCUCACCUCUGAGCCUCAACGUCUUCUUCUGCAAAAUGGGUUAGUGAUCCUGACUAUGGGGCUGUUGAUUCAGGAUUCGGCGGGAACGCCCAGCACUUCCUGAGUACACAAGAGUGCUGAGAAAAUGGUAGCUGUUUUUUGCGAUUACUGACUCGGGGCCCGACCAGCUCUGGCACGACUCAGCGGAGGUGGGAGUCCUGCGGGUCCCAUCCCUGCCUCCCGGAGAGCCAGACCCCAG